rnacentral:rRNA from 1 species
UAGAACAACUCUCAGCAACGGAUAUCUUGGCUCUUGCAACGAUGAAGAACGCAGCGAAAUGCGAUACGUAGUGUGAAUUGCAGAAUUCCGCGAAUCAUCGAGUUUUUGAACGCAAGUUGCGCCCGAGGCUUGUCCGAGGGCAUUUCCGCUAGAGCGUCACC